rnacentral:misc_RNA from 1 species
CUGUUAGUACAACUGCAACAAUGGAAAUUAGAGUACUUGCGGUUCUUAUUUGGAAAGAAAGAAUGCAUCUUGUUCUUGUUGGCACGAUAAUCGUGAAGAGCAGUGUAGCCCCAACCAAAAACAAAGCUGCAAUUGAUGGAUUUCUUGGCAGAGAAAUCUAAGCAACAAAAGGGACUGAGGUGGAGCACAGUUGCGGUAGCUUGCCCCAUCCCCCAUAUAUUUAGCGCUGUCAUCGGUCUCUCUGGGUAAGGGUU